ACGCUCGACACCUACGGGGGCAGCAGUUGGGAAUAUUGGACAAUGGAGGAAACUCUGAUCCAGUGACGCCGCGUGAAGGAAGAAGGUCUUCGGAUUGUAAACUUAUUUUGUCAGGGAAGAAAAAUGACUGUACCUGAAGAAAAAGCACCGGCUAACUACGUGUCAGCAGCCGCGGUAAUCUGAGCGGGCUGGCAAGGC
rnacentral:rRNA from 1 species